GCUAAUGAGGUGCAUGAGUCGACUGUAAGACGUAGGUGGCAAGCGUUGUCCGGAUUUACUGGGCGUGAAGGAGUCGUAGGCGGAUAUUUAAGUUAGUGGUGAAAUUGCCGGGCUGGACUUGGGAGCUGCAUUUAAAACUGGGUCUCGAGAGUGCGGGAGAGGAGAGUGGAAUUCCUAGUGUAGCGGUGCAAUGCGUAGAGAUUAGGAAGAACACCAGUGGCGAAGGCGACUCUCUGGACCGUAACUGACGCUGAGGCAUGAAAGCGUGGGGAGCAAACAGGAUUAGAUACCCCAGUAGUC
rnacentral:rRNA from 1 species